ACAGAGCUGAGCCUUUGUACCACCGCAGGACACCAGCGCCCGCCACACGCCCCUGUCACGAAGGCUGGGGGCAGGGGGAGCUGGGGUGCAGCGUCAUGCAGCCAUGCUGGAAGGCAGGCUGGCGGCUUCUUAUAAAGCUGAACAGAGCCUCACCAUAUGCCCCAAAGUGCUCACAGUUAUCGACCCAACUGGUUCGAAAUCUUUUAUCCAAGUAAAACCUGUGUGAAGGUUCUGUGCUUUAUGCACGACGACUCAACCUGGAAGCACCCAAGCUGCUCUUAGGUGAACAGACACUGGCAAUCCAAAACGGGGACUACAUCAGGGACACACAGGACCACGCUACGGACGCGCUCGAUGCCAUGGAAGCACCUGGGCUGCACUUGGCUCGGGGAAGGAAGCCAGAUCGUGUGGUUGUGCUCACGGCACCAGGAACAGGCCAGACCACGGGCAGGAGAGGCCUCGGGGGCUGCGUGGGCGUUUUCAUGGAGGCAAACGGCAAACAGCAGAAUGAAAAUAAACUCCAUCCCACGGUA